AGAACGAACGCUGGCGGCAGGCCUCAAACAUGCAAGUCUAGGGGGUGCAGCAAUGCAUCACCGGCGGACGGGUGCGUAACACGUGGGAAUAUACCUUUCGGUACGGAACAACUGCGGGAAACUGCAGCUAAUACCGUAUACGUCCUUACGGAGAAAGAUUUAUCGCCGAAGGAUUAGCCCGCGUAGGAUUAGCUAGUUGGUGGGGUAAUGGCUCACCAAGGCUCCGAUCCUUAGCUGUUCUGAGAGGAAGAUCAGCCACACUGGGACUGAGACACGGCCCAGACUCCUACGGGAGGCAGCAGUUGGGAAUCUUGGACAAUGGGGGAAACCCUGAUCCAGCCAUGCCGCGUGAGUGAUGAAGGCCUUCGGGUUGUAAAACUCUUUCGACGGGGACGAUAAUGACGGUACCGUAGAAGAAGCUCCGGCUAACUUCGUGCCAGCAGCCGC
rnacentral:rRNA from 1 species